GUCAGUUGGGCACCUUCUUCCUCUCUCCCUUCCCGCUUAUUCUGAGUGGCGGGGAUUAGCGGUGUUUGCCCCUGGAUAAAAUCUGAGAAGCCCUCCCUGGAGGGUGAAUAAUCGGCCACAGGAGGACUAGAGCUCCUCAGAGAAUCACCCCACCUUGGAGAAGCUGAGCAGAGCUGGUGGUGACUCCUCUGGAAUUCCACGGCAGAUACGGAGGGAAGGAAAAAGGACCAUGUGUCUAAAAACCCUAAUGGGAUCCACCCCAAAUUUUGGCAACAAGAUGGGGGAGGUCACCAGCCUUCCUGACUUCUUCCUGCCUAGAAUGAAACGUGGCCGUUGGAAUGCCCUGCCAACUUCACAUAGCACACAAGGAUCAGAUGUAUUUUACCGUUGAGAAGAAGGAAAAGGAGACUGAGUCAUGUACUGGAUCAACCGUGUCCUCUCAAAACGCUGGUGGGGAAGCACACAGAGGAUGUGCUUUCAAGGAAUAUUCUACCUGGAAGCUGUCUUCUUCCUCACCCCAAAUUCAAACUGGCACAUAAAACCCCUCCCAUCACUACAGCAGCACAGAUACAGCACAAAACAAAAUCCAGUGGUGUGAGGCUAUUGUCAGUGCAUCGUGGUGAGGGAGUCAGGACUUACACUCGCGUGGAUCUGACUCCCAGGAUCCCAUCGCUACACAACUUGGCCUCAUUCUCUGACUGACAACUAUAUGAAGCGUGAACCGUAAGCAGUUGUAGAUAAGAGAUGAAGAAUUCUCAGCACGUCAGGAGGAAACGGCCAUCCAACACAGACCUGUGGUCCAUGAAAUGCCUUCCUUUUAGCACGGCGGAGAAGAUAAAGCACCAAGAUGUCACACACAGUGCCACACGAAAGACCACUUUCUGAAGAACCAACUUUUGGCUAAUGGUUACCCAGAAACUACAAAUUGUGUACUUGAAAUCAACAAAAAAAGAAGAAGAGGAGAGGACACACAGAGACACAGAAGGAGGAUGCUAUGUGAAGUAGGAGGCAAAGACUGGAGCGAUGCGGCUGCAAGCCAAGAAUGCCAAGGAUGCCGGUAACCACCAGAGGCUAGGAGAGAGGCGUGGAUCAGACUCUCCCUUGGUGCUUCCAGAGAGAAUCAACCCUGCCAACACCUUGAUUUCAGACUUUUGACCUCCAAAGCUGUAAGAGAAUAAAUGCCUG
rnacentral:lncRNA from 1 species